rfam:Triticum aestivum genome assembly, contig: Triticum_aestivum_CS42_TGACv1_scaffold_130395_2BL
UACGUACUCCCUCCAUCCGGAAAAACUUGUCCCAAGCUUGUUUGUCAAAUGGAUGUAUCUAGCACUAACUUGGUGCUAGAUACAUCCAUUUGAGGGACAGAUUUUUCCGGACGAAGGGAGUAGCAC